CCUACGGGAGGCAGCAGUGGGGAAUAUUGGACAAUGGGCGAAAGCCUGAUCCAGCAAUUCCGCGUGUGUGAAGAAGGCCUUCGGGUUGUAAAGCACUUUAGUGGGGGAAGAAACAGCUUGGCCACACCAAGCCUUGACGGUACCCCAAGAAUAAGCACCGGCUAACUCUGUGCCAGCAGCCGCGGUAAUACAGAGGGUGCAAGCGUUAAUCGGAUUUACUGGGCGUAAAGGGUGCGUAGGUGGCUAUUUAAGUCGGAUGUGAAAGCCCGGGGCUCAACCUCGGAAUUGCAUUCGAUACUGAGUGGCUAGAGUUCGGUAGAGGGCGGCGGAAUUUCCGGUGUAGCGGUGAAAUGCGUAGAUAUCGGAAGGAACAUCAAUGGCGAAGGCAGCCGCCUGGGCCUGGACUGACACUGAGGCACGAAAGCGUGGGUAGCAAACAGGAUUAGAUACCCUGGUAGUCCACGCCGUAAACGAUGAGAACUUGACGUUGGUUCGUUUUACGAAUCGGUGUCGCNGCUACGACGAUAAGUUACUCCGUCCGUCGGGGUAGGGUACGGGCCGGCCGACGGUUAGGUAAACGUUAAAACGGUAAGUUAGUACGGCGUGAGACGUGCCGACGGACGACGACGAGGGAGGUAGG
rnacentral:rRNA from 1 species